rnacentral:rRNA from 1 species
GACCUCGAAUCAGGUAGGGAUACCCGCUGAACUUAAGCAUAUCAAUAAGCGGAGGAAAAGAAACCAACC